CCUACGGGGGGCUGCAGUCGGGAAUUUUGGGCAAUGGGGGAAACCCUGACCCAGCAACGCCGCGUGAAGGAUGAAGUAUUUCGGUCUGUAAACUUCGAAAGAAUAGGAAGAAUUAAUGACGGUACUAUUUAUAAGGUCCGGCUAACUCCGUGCCAGCAGCCGCGGUAAUACGUAGGGACCACGCGUUGUUCGGAUUUACUGGGCGUAAAGGGCGCGUAGGCGGCAUGGUAAGUCACUUGUGAAAUCUCCGAGCUUAACUCGGAACGGCCAAGUGAUACUGCGGAGCUAGAGUGCAGAAGGGGCAAUCGGAAGUCUGGGUGUAGCGGUGAAAUGCGUAGAUAUCAAGAGGAACACCGGAGGUGAAGACGGGUUGCUGGGCUGACACUGACGCUGAGGCGCGAAAGCUAGGGGAGCAAACGGGAUUAGAUACCCUAGUAGUC
rnacentral:rRNA from 1 species